AACAACACGUAGUCUUUCUUCCCUUACUUCCCGGUAAAGUGUUUGCCAGCCAUUAUAAACCUAAGCAUUGCUUCAAAGGCUGACUAAGGCCAUCCAAUGAAGUUACAGUCCAAAAGAAAAACCUUUACAGGAAUAUUUCAAAGAUAAAGCAAAGAAAAGGAAACCUCUGACAAAAGAUAAGCAUUCAAUUUCUAAAUUUCAAUCAAUGUGAAAUACUAAUUAGUAAAUCUAGCAAGUGUUAUUGCUUUGCACAGUCAGCCAUGACUAUAUGAACUAGGACUACAAUAAUGAGGCUGAAGGAAGCAAGCCUCAUUAGUUUGUAGCCACACUUCAAAGCAAACACUGUUACUGGUAAAUAGCUCUCCUCGGUAAGUUUCCUUGACAACCUAUUGAAAAUUUACUACAAAAAAAAAAAAAG
rnacentral:lncRNA from 1 species